GAAAUGCGAUAAGUAAUGUGAAUUGCAGAAUUCAGUGAAUCAUCGAAUCUUUGAACGCACCUUGCGCUCCUUGGUAUUCCGAGGAGCAUGCCUGUUUGAGUGUCAUGGAAUUCUCAACUCUAUUUGCUUUUGUGAAUAGAGCUUGGAUUUGGAGGUUUAUUGCUGGUACUUGUGAUCGGCUCCUCUUGAAUGCAUUAGCUCGAACCUUUGCGGAUCAGCUAUCGGUGUGAUAAUUGUCUACGCCGUUGCAGUGAAGCAUAUCAAUGGGCUCGGCUUCCAAUCGUCCUUUACUGGACAAUUACUUUGACCUUUGACCUCAAAUCAGGUAGGAUUACCCGCUGAACUUAAGC
rnacentral:misc_RNA from 1 species